rnacentral:rRNA from 1 species
AUUGAACGCUGGCGGCAGGCCUAACACAUGCAAGUCGAACGGUAACAGGAAGAAGCUUGCUUCUUUGCUGACGAGUGGCGGACGGGUGAGUAAUGUCUGGGAAACUGCCUGAUGGAGGGGGAUAACUACUGGAAACGGUAGCUAAUACCGCAUAACGUCGCAAGACCAAAGAGGGGGACCUUCGGGCCUCUUGCCAUCGGAUGUGCCCAGAUGGGAUUAGCUAGUAGGUGGGGUAACGGCUCACCUAGGCGACGAUCCCUAGCUGGUCUGAGAGGAUGACCAGCCACACUGGAACUGAGACACGGUCCAGACUCCUACGGGAGGCAGCAGUGGGGAAUAUUGCACAAUGGGCGCAAGCCUGAUGCAGCCAUGCCGCGUGUAUGAAGAAGGCCUUCGGGUUGUAAAGUACUUUCAGCGGGGAGGAAGGGAGUAAAAUUAAUACCUUUGCUCAUUGACGUUACCCGCAGAAGAAGCACCGGCUAACUCCGUG